rnacentral:rRNA from 1 species
UAGAGUUUGAUCCUGGCUCAGAUUGAACGCUGGCGGCAGGCUUAACACAUGCAAGUCGAGCGGGGGAGGUUGCUUCGGUAACUGACCUAGCGGCGGACGGGUGAGUAAUGCUUAGGAGUCUGCCUAUUAGUGGGGGACAACGUUCCGAAAGGAACGCUAAUACCGCAUACGUCCUAUGGGGGAAAGCAGGGGAUCUUCGGACCUUGCGCUAAUAGAUGAGCCUAAGUCGGAUUAGCUAGUUGGUGGGGUAAAGGCCUACCAAGGCGACGAUCUGUAGCGGGUCUGAGAGGAUGAUCCGCCACACUGGGACUGAGACACGGCCCAGACUCCUACGGGACGCAGCA